rfam:Streptomyces autolyticus strain CGMCC0516, complete genome.
CUUCAGCGAUCCCAGCCACACCGGCUCGUCACCCUGUCGCUCCUGGCCGUAGGUGGCCAGGAGUGCCUGGGCCUC